rnacentral:rRNA from 1 species
UGCGCAGGCGGCCGUGUGUGUUAGGUGUGAAAGCCCGAGGCUCAACCUCGGAAUUGCGCCUAAAACUACACGGCUAGAGUAUUGGAGAGGGUAGCGGAAUUCACGGUGUAGCAGUGAAAUGCGUAGAUAUCGUGAGGAACACCAGAGGCGAAGGCGGCUACCUGGACAAUUACUGACGCUCAGGCACGAAAGCCGGGGGAGCAAACA